CGACCUGCCACUCCUUUUCUCUCAGGCGCAGCAUCCAUCUCACACACGGGUUUCACAUGAACAGCGGUACGUCAGAACAUCACCCGCCUUUAUUAAUACCAACCCGGCAACGUUCUCUUGUCGCCUUUGUUGUGGUUGUUGGACAGAAUCUCUCUCCGCCGCACCGGAGGCCCGCGGAGAAGCAGCGAGGCGAUCAAACGAAUGCAUUCAUCUCCCUGCCUGCCUGGUCUAUCAGAGGACGACACACUCCUUUAUCUCAUCGAGCAUCUGGUAAUGGAAGUAAACACUGCAUCCUCGGCCGGGCAGCGAGUCAGAUGAACGGCAGCGUCCAUGUGUGUGACAGAGAGGGAGGUGUUUGUGCGAGAUGGAAAAGGGAACAAGACGGGCCUGUUACAUCGUGCUAAUCCUAAUCCUAGCCUGCAAUUGUGUCCAAUGUCCACCCCUCCUGCUCCGAGUCACUUCCAGGUCUUGGCUUAGCCGGGGGAAAAAAAGGUGAAUGUCUGCUUCCAUGGCGCCGUCGGUCAGGCGAACCCACUGACCUUGGCGCGGCGGCUGCUUGGCGAGCCUCUGGAGAACCUUCGUCCUCCAUCGUUCCAAUCCAGGAGAUCCGAUUGAAACUGCGAGUGUGCCAUCUGCCCCUUGACAAGAUUACACUGUGCGAUUGGCCAAGAAAUCCUCUAGCGUGGCAGAUUAAUAUUGAAAUAUAGGGCAGGAAUAGCUGCUGCAUGUCUAGAUUCUGUUUUGCCGUGUAGCCCCUCUGAAUUCAUGCCACAGCAACAACAUUUUCCCAGGUGAUUGGAUUAGGAAAUGUAUUAAUUGUUUCUAUCCGUCCCUUUUUGCAUCUCUUUUUCUGCUGAUCCCCCUGGUCCUUUUUUUGUAUUUUGCAUGUGUUUGUGUUAAUCCAGAACUUCCUC
ensembl:lncRNA